AGACAUUGUUUUUUUGCCUCUCAUUAAGCUAGGCCUAUAGAACUGCCCACAUGGUGUAAAGACUUCCAAACGGACUUAAAGGCCCAGUGCAGACACACUAAAUGUUAAGCAUUGAAACCCCUUUCCCGUCAAUGCUGAUAGAGCAAGUGAGAAUGUAAAAGUUACGGGAAAUGCUGAUAGAGCAAGUGAGAAUGUAAAAGUUACGGGAAAUGCUGCUGCAGUAACUUUUAAAAUUUGCAUAAAGGUCAGACAUCUUCAAAAGAAAUCAAGAGCAAGACAUUUUGAAAAGAAAAGAAAAAGAUAAGUAGCCUUGCUUCAGUGUGAAAUAUGGAUUCUACGUCUGCUUUUGGUAAGGCAGCUGGUUUAUGUGGCCCUGUUGAUAAGAGUCUAUACUGUGCAUGUUGCUGUUUUAGAUCAGUGUGUCCUCUUAUGUCUGAUCUUGGAGAUAGACCCUCUACACUAGAGUCUAAUUCAGGGAUGGAACUCCUGGACGUGGUCUACGCAAAACUAGACAAAUUAACCUGAUGUGAAUUGCGAUGCAAAUGGUCUUCUCAUGCUACCCAGUCAGUUCCUCUUUGUUCUCGACUUACAAGAAAAUGCUGGUGCUAGUUAUGGGGAAAUAUUUUUACUUCCUGCGCUAACCACAUGCGUGAGGUUACCAAAUUAUUCUUUAGAACUAAAACCAAGCUGACAUGUACCAUUAACUCACCAGCUGUCAGACAUCAUGGAAGCCAUUCUAUUUCUACUGAUUGUGGGUCGGUCAAUUUUCUGCUUUUUAUUUGACCAACACAUCAUCAUUGAAAUGUCCUUGUUUUUGAAAGAAAAGCACAUUUUUGGGUCAUUAAAAUAACCUCAAAUUGAUCAGUAAUACAUUGUAGACAUUGUUCAUGUUGUAAAAGACUAUUGUAGCUGGAAACGGCUUAUUUUUUUAUGGAAUAUCAACAUAGGCGUAUAGAGGCACAUUAUCAGCAACCACCAUUCCUGUGUUGCAAUGGCACGUUGUGUUAGCUAAUCCAGGUUUAUAAUUUUAAAAGGCUAAUUGUUCAAUUUCUCACAUGGAAUAGCCUUAAUUUCUCAGAACAAGAAUAGACUGACAAGUUUCAGAAGAAAGUUCUUUGUUUCUGCUCAUUUUCAGCCUGUAAUCGAACCCACAAAUGCUGACGCUCCAGAAACUCAACUAGUCUAAUGGCGGCCAGUUUUAUUGCUUCUUUAAUCAGGACAACAGUUUUCAGCUGUGUUAACAUACUUGCAAAAGAAACGACAGUACAUCAUUAAUUUAAGACAUGAAGGUCAGUCAAUGUGGAACAUUUCUAGAACUUUGAAAGUUUCUUCAAGUGCAGUCGCAAAAACCAUCAAGCGCUAUGAUGAAAGUGGCUCUCAUUAGGACUGCCACAGGAAAGGAAGACCCAGAGUUACCUCUGCUGCAGAGGAUAAGUUCAUUAGAGUUACCACCCUCAGAAAUUGCAGCCCGAAUAAAUGCUUCAGAGGGUUCAAGUAACAGACACAUCUCAACAUUAACUGUUCAGAGGAGACUGCAUGAAUCAGGCCUUCAUGGUCAAAUUGCUGCAAAGAAACCACUACUAAAGGACACCAAUAAGAGGAAGAGACUUGCUUGGGCUAAGAAACAUGAGCAAUGGUCAUUAGACCGGUGAAAAUCUGUCCUUUGGUCUGAUGAGUCCAAAUUUGAGAUUUAUGGUUCCAACCGCCGUGGCUUUGUGAGACGCAGAGCAGGUGAACGGAUGAUCUCCACAUGUGUCGUUCCCACCGUGAAGCAUGGAGGAGGAGAUAUGAUGGUGUGGAGGUGCUUUGCUGGUGACACUAUCAGUGAUUUAUGUAGAAUUCAAGGCACACCUAAACAGCAUGGCUACCACAGCAUUCUGCAGCGAUACGUCAUCCCAUCUGGUUUGUGCAAUGACCCAAAAACAAACCUCCAGGCGGUGUAAGGGCUAUUUGACCAAGAAGGAGAGUGAUGGAGUGCUGCAUCAGAUGACCUGGCCUCUACAAUCACCUGACCUCAACCCAAUUGAGAUGGUUUAGGAUGAGUUGGACCGCAGAGUGAAGGAAAGCAGCCAACAAGUGUUCAGCAUAUGUGGAACUCCAAGACUGCCAGAAAAGCAUUCCAGGUAAAGCUGGUUGAGAGAAUGCCAAGAGUGUGCAAAGCAGUCAUCAAGGCAAAUGGUGGCUACUGAUCAUCUCCAGCAUUAAACAGACCCUGUUUAGGAACGUUCAACACUAUGUACUGUUUAGUAGUGGGAUGUUUUUUCUGAAGAUAAUCUAGUCUUUCUAAAUUCACCUCUCAUCUCCCUCAUGUAGAUAUAAAUGAGUGCUUAAAUGAGAAGAACAUCUGUAGGCUAUUCAACUUGUAUCAACACCUUUGAAAGCUACUACUGUCAAUGCUAUUCUGUCUUCAGAUCGCUUGGCUUUGAAUCAUGUGGUGGUCAAUAUAAUCUUAUUGAAAGUGUGACUGUGUUAACGUGUGAGGGAUUAUCACCCUCUCUUUGUAAACAUACAAUCUUUAAUCAUCUUUCCAUCUCCACUACUUUUCCCUUUACCACUCACUUUCUCUAUCAGACAUAGAUGAGUGUGUUGAGAACCAACAUUUUUGUGGGGAAUGGAGAAUCGAUCUCAAUCAGCUGGGCAGCUACCUGUGCAAGUGUCACACAGGAUGCAGUCGCUAUGGCAACAGACAAACUCAGUGUGCAGUUUUAUUUACCCAGGCCAAAACCUGAAUGCCAGUUACUGGUGCCAGUGUCCUGCUGGAUUUACUAACUUUAGCAAAAACCAAACUAAGUGUGUAGGUGAGAGUCAAGCACCAUUCCACCUGUUGUCCAUGAUGUACUCCUUUAUCAUGCACAGCUAUGUACAUAGUGUACUGUAGAAGGGUAUUGAGAUAAUGUCUCCAUGCUUUUACUUUAGAGCUUCUGUGACCAGCAUGAAACACAGCCUGGACAGACUGUACCAGGCGUUUGACAGGUUCUUGUCUCUGUUGAGAAAAACAGUUAGGUGUUGAGCAACUCUACGUUGUCUGGACCUACAAGAUAGUUACUGACUGGAGAUGUGCUUUUGACAGUAAGUCACCACACACAAACACACACAUGCAUAUAACUCUUGUCUCUUUUCUGUAGUUACUGGUUAAUACCACUGAUGUUCUUCAAUUGGGCCUCCAGUCCAAUGGUCACCGUAGUAGCAGUGAAGUGACUAGGUUACUGAGGAAGAUUGAAAUCUCUCUGACUGAACGCUCAGCUGCUGCCAGAGACCUAACCACACAGAGAUUGAGAUUAUGGUGAGGAGAGACUCCACCUGAAGGACCAGUCAGCCUGACCAAUGAGAACACUCAACUUGACACCAACUAAUUGAGAGAAAAGAGACAACGACAUAUACAUUUGAGUCAUUUAGCAGAUGCUCUUAUCCAGAGCGACUUCCAGUUAGUGCAUUCAUCUUAAGAUAGCAAGGUGGGUGAACCACAUAUCACAGGCAUAGAAAGUACAUUUCCCUCAGUAAUGUAGCUAUCGGUAGAUUCAGAGCUAGAAGAGGGGUGGGGGUGUCAAGUGCAAGUGCUAUUUUUUAAUUAAAAAAAUGGCGGGUGGUCGAGGUGAGGAGGAUAAUUAUUUAAGAUACUGUUUGAAGAGGUAGUGUUUCAGAUGUUUUUGGAAGAUGGGCAGGGACUCUGCUGACCUAUCUUCAGGGGGAAGCUGGUUCCACCAUUGGGGUAACAGGACAGA